rfam:SAR86 cluster bacterium SAR86A genomic scaffold Contig_1, whole genome shotgun sequence.
GCCCAGAUAGCUCAGUUGGUAGAGCAAAGGACUGAAAAUCCUUGUGUCGGUGGUUCGAUCCCACCUCUGGGCA